UUUGGGUGUAACAUCGUUCUGUUGAUUAACGGGAGUUUGCCUAGUGGUCUUUUUUUCUUUAUUUUUUUUAUCCCCAAUUCCUCCUCAAUUUACGUAGCGGAAUUGGUUGUGCUGUGGAGUUUUUACGAAAAAUACCGUUUAUCACGCGACUACAGUUGGCGCUGAGUUUCUCGAUUGUCGUCACUUCGUUGGUCAAGAUAAAAUAAACCUGGGCUUCUGCGAGACAAAAUGCAGAUGAAUCAAGAAAAUCAUUAGACGAUUACCGAGGAGGACCCAUUAGAAAUAGUAUAUAGUAUCUUCAAGAAGGGAACACUUUGUCUUCUGUUCUAUAAAAGCCAAGACUUAUCACAAGAGACCUCGAGAAUUAUGGCUGCGACAGAAUGUUCUUCUCUAAAAGAUGAGGCAUUGGCUGGACUACUAGCAACAUGGUUUAUCAUUGGUGGCGACAGCAAAGUAGCGAGUGGUGCUCCCCUAUUCCAUAGUCAUGGUUUUGACAUCACGCUACUGUACUGCAAAACUGAAUCGGGGGAACCAUUUCUGCCAUCUGAUCCUCAUGUAGAUGAGGAAAGAUUGCUAGUUUUCGCCUCUGUCCGUCUAUAUAUUACCAGUUGUAUACAAUCAGCAUUCAAAUAAGUAAUCUGAAUGUACCUCGUGGCGCAGAAAGGGAAAAUUUAUCUAGAACUAGGAGCGCAAAUAACUAAAGAACAAGUUUACAAAGAGUGCAAAAACGACUUGGAACUUCACUUGAAAAGUAUUACCCUUGCCAGAUAAUGUCUUUAUUAAAAGCUGUGGCAUAUUAUCUGUUAAUGCAUUAGUAAAUUCUUAGUUGAGUCUUUAA